rnacentral:misc_RNA from 1 species
GACGAAGAACGUAGCGAAAUGCGAUACUUGGUGUGAAUUGCAGAAUCCCGUGAACCAUCGAGUCUUUGAACGCAAGUUGCGCCCGAAGCCAUUAGGCCGAGGGCACGCCUGCCUGGGCGUCACACGUCGUUGCCCCCCCCAUCUACUCCUUCGGGAUUGCGGGGGGCGGAUGAUGGCCUCCCGUGCGCCUCGCCGCGCGGUUGGCAUAAAUGCCAAGUCCUCGGCGACGCACGCCACGACAAUCGGUGGUUGCGAAACCUCGGUUGCCCGUCGUGUGCGGUCGUCGCGCAUCGAGGGCUCGAAAAAAUUGCCGAGUUCCGGCUCGGCUUUCAACGCGACCCCAGGUCAGGCGGGGUUACCCGCUGAAUUUAAGCAUAUCAAUAAGCGGAGGA